UACGUAGGGGGCAAGCGUUGUCCGGAAUCAUUGGGCGUAAAGCGCGUGUAGGCGGCCCGGCAAGUCCGCUGUGAAAGUCGGGGGCUCAACCCUCGGAUGCCGGUGGAUACUGUCGGGCUAGAGUGCGGAAGAGGCGAGUGGAAUUCCUGGUGUAGCGGUGAAAUGCGCAGAUAUCAGGAGGAACACCGAUGGCGAAGGCAGCUCGCUGGGACGGUACUGACGCUGAGGCGCGAAAGCGUGGGGAGCAAACAGG
rnacentral:rRNA from 1 species